CAGUAGCCACGGUAGUACGAAGGGGGCUAGCGUUGUUCGGAUUUACUGGGCGUAAAGCGCACGUAGGCGGAUCGAUCAGUCAGGGGUGAAAUCCCAGAGCUCAACUCUGGAACUGCCUUUGAUACUGUCGAUCUGGAGUAUGGAAGAGGUGAGUGGAAUUCCGAGUGUAGAGGUGAAAUUCGUAGAUAUUCGGAGGAACACCAGUGGCGAAGGCGGCUCACUGGUCCAUUACUGACGCUGAGGUGCGAAAGCGCGGGGAGCAAACAGGAUUAGAUACCCCUGUAGUCCCUGUCUCUUAUAC
rnacentral:rRNA from 1 species